GUACUUCAGCAGCACAUAUAUUAAAAAAUUGAAAUGAUUCAGAGAAGACUAGGAUGGCCUCUAUAUAAGGAUAACACAUGAAUUCAUGAAGCAUAUUUAAGUAGA
rnacentral:snRNA from 1 species